GUUGUAUGGUUAAGUGACUAAGCGUACACGGUGGAUGCCUUGGCAGUCAGAGGCGAUGAAGGACGUGCUAAUCUGCGAUAAGCGUCGGUAAGGUGAUAUGAACCGUUAUAACCGACGAUUUCCGAAUGGGGAAACCCACCUGCUUGCAGGUAUCGUUAACUGAAUACAUAGGUUAACGAGGCGAACGCGGAGAACUGAAACAUCUAAGUACCCCGAGGAAGAGAAAUCAACCGAGAUUCCGAAAGUAGCGGCGAGCGAAAUUGGAUUAGCCCUUAAGCUUUUAAUGAUGCAGGUGAAGCCUCUGGAAAGUGGCGCAGUAAAGGGUGAUAGCCCCGUAACCGACACAUCAUCAUCAGUGAAAUCGAGUAAGGCGGGACACGUGAUAUCCUGUCUGAAUAUGGGGGGACCAUCCUCCAAGGCUAAAUACUCCUGACUGACCGAUAGUGAACCAGUACCGUGAGGGAAAGGCGAAAAGAACCCCUGUGAGGGGAGUGAAAUAGAACCUGAAACCGUGUACGUACAAGCAGUAGGAGCACCUUCGUGGUGUGACUGCGUACCUUUUGUAU
rnacentral:rRNA from 1 species